rnacentral:lncRNA from 1 species
GCUUGUUAGAUGAGUUCAAUAGAAUACGGCGCUAUGCUUGGUUUAAAUUUGAAAGGCUAUACUUUUUUUAUACACACUGUAGAAAUGUGAAUCGUAAUCGUAAUGUAGGCUACCUGCACGUUGCAUGAACAAGAGAUGUUCAAACGCUUUGCGUUCAACUUUUCUGGUUCGUUUGUUAACCCAGUGUAUGUGUUCAUGUUUGUUCACAACGAAAUAGUGUGGAGCUACGUUGGAGACAUCGGCAAGCUGUUUUAAUACCAUUAUCUCACUGUCGCUGACAUUAGC